CCGGGCGGUGCUUCUUUGUGCGCCUGUGUUUGCUCGGUCUCUCCAGAAACAGCGCCCCUGGCGGCCGGGAGGGGCGGCGGCCGAGCGCCGUGGGUCGUGGGCGGGGCUGCGGGCGAGGCUCGAGAUCUCCGGUUCGAGACUAGGCUCCGGCGCUUCCCAGUGUCGGGCACAAGUGUUCUUCGCUGUGGGGAUGAGACUAGCUGUUGGCGGUUUAAGGGAGAUGAAUGUGCACAGGGAUGCGCACCAGCCACACUGGAAGUCACGUGGGGGCUUGUGGGCAAGAAGCCAGAGGUCAACUCGGACUUUGUACACAGGACAUGGCGACAGGGCCCUGCCGGGAAGUGCAGGGCCGAGGUCAGAUGUGCAGGGCCUGUCACCGUCGCUGCUGUCGCCAUGCUGCCCCCCAGGACGGCAUCCCUCCUGACUCUGCUCCUGGCCGUCGGCUCCCUGGGUCAGAGGGUUCAGAGACCCCCUCGGCCCCCGUCCCCCAUCAGCGCCAUCCAGCCCAAGGCCAACUUCGACGCGCAGCGGUUUUCAGGGACCUGGUUCCUUGUGGCCGUGGCCUCUGCGUGCCGCUCCCUGCAGGAGCAGGGCCACCGGGCUGAGGCCAGCACACUGCACGUGACUCCUCAGGGUGCCGCCAUGGCUGUCAGCACCUUGCGGAAGCUGGAUGGGAUCUGCUGGCAGGUGCGGCAGCUCUACGGUGACACGGGGCUCCCAGGUUGCUUUCUGCUCCAAGCCCGAGGCGCCCGAGGGCCGGUGGACGUGGUCGUUGGGGAGACGGACUACCAGGGCUUCGCCAUCCUGUACCUGGAGCGGGCGCGGCAGCUGUCGGUGAAGCUGUACGGUAUGUCCCCGCGGGACCGGGUCUACACACCCGCAGGGCCGUCUGGGUGGGCCCGGAUGGGCACAUGGACGCUUCCCUCCCUUCCCCCUGCCCUUGCCGUUAGGCCCAGAUGUGGGGACAGAGAGGAGACUGGGGGUGGGGGGCAGGGGUCAGAUCACAGCCCCCGGCACACAGCCCAGCUCCCAGAGCGCCCUGCCCGCCCAGCCCGCACCCACCCAGCGGGCGCCCAGGAGCCCCGUGUGUCCCGCACACAGCCCGCUCGCUCCCUGUGAGCGAAUCAUUCCUGAGUGUGUUUGAGCAGCGGGUCCAGGGUGCCAACCUGACCGAGGACCACAUCCUGUUCUUCCCCAAGUAUGGUUUCUGCGAGGCCGCGGACCAGUUUCACGUCCUGGAUGAAGUGAGGAGGUGAGGCCGGCGGCAGCCCUGCACCAGCAAGCAGCCUGGGCCCUGGAGGUGCGGCACUCGCCGCCCCCUUGCUGAGUGGGGGGCUCUCUCCCGUCCGCCCCCGAAGCUGCGCCUCGCCGCCAGGAGCUCGGGGCGCUGCCUUCAUUAAACGCUGUCAGUCUCAGCUCCUGGCUU